rnacentral:rRNA from 1 species
ACNUGCAGUCGAGCGGACAGAUGGGAGCUUGCUCCCUGNUGUUAGCGGCGGACGGGUGAGUAACACGUGGGUAACCUGCCUGUAAGACUGGGAUAACUCCGGGAAACCGGGGCUAAUACCGGAUGCUUGAUUGAACCGCAUGGUUCAAUUAUAAAAGGUGGCUUNNAGCUACCACUUAC